rnacentral:lncRNA from 1 species
AUGUUGCAGGAGAAAACGGGCGGGAUCUCUGGCAUGUUCAAACGCUCCCCCAAACCAGCUCCACGUUCCCUGGUCGCCAAGGACCCGCUCCAAGACACAAAUGAACUUGGCGAGAGUGACGAUGAAAGUCUGGCAGUGAAGGAUACGAAGACUUUACUGUCCGCCAGCAAUGACAGUCUGAACGAGGUUUCCACCACAAAAGUAAGCCUUGAGUCACUUAAUAUGAACCCUUUUUUAAUGUAUUAUUUUUUAGCAAAAUCUUUCUCACAAAUGUAUAUUGUAUGUUUUAAUAUUUCCUUGUUGUGUGUGUGUGUGUGUGUGUGUGUGUGUGUGUGUGUGUGUGUGUGUGUGUGUGUGUGUGUGUGUGUGUGUGUGUGUGUGUGUGUGUGUGUGUGUGUGUGUGUGUGUGUGUGUGUGUGUGUGUGUGUGCGCUACCUUUUACUCAGGAGAGGAUGAGAGCUUUUGGUGGGAUGUUCAAGAAGGCCCCAAAAGCAGUGGAACAACUGGUAGGCACACACACACCCUUGGCAUGUCCCCCAUAAAGAAACACGUUAAAGUCUUAUCAUG